rnacentral:lncRNA from 1 species
GGGUGGGGUGGGGGGGACGGGACGUAAAGCGUCGCUCGAUCCGGCCCGCGGCGGCGGCGGCUCCGGCUCCGGCUCCCCAGCCUCAGAGGCCUGGGCCAUCCGGCGGCGGCUGCAGCGGCAGCCGGGCUCCCACUCCCCCAGGCGCCCGCCCGCCAGCUCUCGCGGAACGAACCUCCGCGGGGGCCGACGCUGCCGCUGCCGCCCCGACGAGAGGAGGAGGAGGAGGAGGAGGAGGAGGAGGCGGCCGCGACUCGGCAGCCCGGGCCCGGCUCCGCUCCGGCGCCGCCUCCAUCUCCUCCUGCUGCUGCUGCCGCUGCCGCCGUCGCCGUGUCGGGCCCAGUCGUCCGUCCGCCCUCCUGCUGCUGCUUGUGUCCGGAGGCAGCGUGGGGGGCUCGGAGGAUUUUGCACUCCAAAAGAGAUCCCGUGGGGACUACUGUACCAACCAUAUCGCCGUACAUAGGAGAUGCAUCCUAAUACCCCUUCCCUGGGUGUACUGUCAGUCUCCUUGUCCUGGAAGUGCAAGGAGCCAUCCUCACUUUCCGUCAUCCAGUAGAUGGAGAUCGACAAUAGGAUUCUGUUCCCGUUCUUGAUUGCUUGGAGCCUUUCAUGCAAGUUAAUUCUCCUGAUACCUGUAUCUGACUAAACGGCAUAAAAGACUGAAAGUUAAGUCCUUUGGCUUGUAACUGCAGAAGCAUCUGCUCAUGAAGAAGGCCUGCAUAGGGUGGCUUAGAGUUAGUUGAACACGUCUAGUGCCAUUGCUAGACAUUUUGGAAUCAGAAAUUCAGUUCCACUGUUAGGUUGCUUUUUAAACAAGAACAGAAACAGACAAUAGUCAAAACUUUAAAAACCUUCUUUCCUGGGGUUUACUACUUAAAAGAUUUCAUAGUUCUUUUUAAGUUUGGUAUAGUAUAGAAUUUGCUAUAUUUUAUGAUGGGUAUUGCCAAAACACUCCAAAAGUGAUAACAAAAGAGAUGUCAUUUGCAGUGUUUGAAGGCAUCCCUACCUUAAUUUGAAGAGUUGAUCAAGAAUAAAUAUAAAAAGUUAAUUUUUUGAGUUUUUAGU